rnacentral:rRNA from 1 species
GAUGAACGCUGGCGGCGUGCCUAAUACAUGCAAGUCGAGCGAACGGACGAGAAGCUUGCUUCUCUGAUGUUAGCGGCGGACGGGUGAGUAACACGUGGAUAACCUACCUAUAAGACUGGGAUAACUUCGGGAAACCGGAGCUAAUACCGGAUGAUAUUUUGAACCGCAUGGUUCAAAAGUGAAAGACGGUCUUGCUGUCACUUAUAGAUGGAUCCGCGCUGCAUUAGCUAGUUGGUAAGGUAACGGCUUACCAAGGCAACGAUGCAUAGCCGACCUGAGAGGGUGAUAGGCGACACUGGAACUGAGACGCGGUCCAGGGUCCUACGGGAGGCAGCAGUAGGGAAUCGUCCGCAAUGGGCGAAAGCCUGACGGAGCAGCGCGGCGUGAGUGAUGAAGGUCUUCGGAUCGUAAAACUCUGUUAUUAGGGAAGAACAUAUGUGUAAGUAAAUGUGCACAGCUUGACGGUAACUAAUCAGAAAGCCACGGCUAACUACGUG